UACGGGGGGGGGCAAGCGUUGUCCGGAAUCACUGGGCGUAAAGCGCGUGUAGGUGGUGGGACAAGUCUGCUGUGAAAGCGCCUGGCUUAACCGGGCGAGGUCGGCGGAAACUGUCCGACUCGAGGACGGUAGAGGGGGGUGGAAUUCCCGGUGUAGUGGUGAAAUGCGUAGAGAUCGGGAGGAACACCAGUGGCGAAGGCGGCUUCCUGGCCUGUUCUUGACGCUGAGGCGCGAAAGCUAGGGGAGCAAACGGG
rnacentral:rRNA from 1 species